UGUUGCCUUAUUUCAGAGAAACUCUUUUGAUUUACUGUUCUCCUGUGGUCAUUUUCAGUUCUGCUUAUUUCCAAGUAUUUCCCUUGCACAGAAUAUCUGUUUGAAUUAUUUCCCAUGAUUUUGAAUCUUACAUAUUGCAAGCUAAUUGUCUCUCUCUCUUCUUUUUUUUUUUAAUCCCUGCUUAUGUGUCUCAACUCUCAAUGUUCCUGGUGACUCCCAUCCUUAUUUUAGACACUAGAACAGUCAUCUGUUGUAGGAGAUAUGCAGAACUUUGAAUUUGUCUUGGCAGGUAACAGGUUACAACUUUCUCCUGCAGGACACGAGACUGAGGCCCUUCAACAGCCCUUCUUGUUAUGCCUGAGGAGUGAAAACUUUCUUCAAUAUGUGUUACAGUGCAGCAGGCGUUACCAUGGUACCUUGUAAUAUUUUUCCAAUCAGCAGAUGGAGCUACAAGGAGAAAAAAAGGUUUGAGUGCAGAAAUUUGGAAUGGAAUAAUGCUAAAAUAAACUUGUUAUAAAAAUGCUCCA
rnacentral:lncRNA from 1 species